rnacentral:snRNA from 1 species
GUGCUUGCUUCGGCAGCAUAUAUACUAAAAUUGGAAUGAUACAGAGAAGAUUAGCCUGGCCCCUGUGCAAGGAUUGCACAUUUCUGAAGCCUUUCAUAUUUUU